AAGAACGCUUUCAAGGGUCAUAAGAUGGUGCUGAAUGGCUGUCGUCAGCUCGUGUCGUGAGAUGUAGGGUAAGUCCCACAACGACGCGCAACCCCUACUCGAUGUUAAAAUUUCUUCGAGUACUGCCCAGCCCAAAGUUCAUAAAGUUUUUAAUAUGAAUUUUGGGCUGGGAGGAAGGAGGGACGACGUCCAGUCAUCAUAUCCCUUAUGUCUAGGGCUACACAGACGCUACAAUGGCCGUUAACAAUGGGUUGCCAAGCCGCGAGGCGGAGCUAAUCUCAUCAAAAGCGGUCUCAGUUCGGAUUGUAGGCUGCAAUUCGCCUACAUGAAGUCGGAAUUGCUAGUAAUCGUGCAUCAGCAUGGCACGGUGAAUACGUUCUCGGGUCUUGUACACACCGCCCGUCAGGGCAUGGGAGUUGCUCAUACACGAAGUCCUGCAUCAGCAGGCCGAAAGUUAUGGGUGGCGACUAGGCUUAAGUCGUAACAAGGUAACCCGGGCGGCCGCUCGAG
rnacentral:rRNA from 1 species